rnacentral:rRNA from 1 species
AACGAACGUUGGCGGCGUGGAUUAGGCAUGCAAGUCGUACGCGAAAGAGGGAGCAAUCCCUUGAGUAAAGUGGCGAACGGGUGAGUAACGCGUAGGAAACCUGCCUUCGAGAUGGGGAUAACAUUCCUAACGGGGUGCUAAUACCGAAUGACACUGCGAAAUCGCAAUGGUUUUGCAGUCAAAGGUGGCCUCUGCUUGCAAGCUACCACUCGAAGAUGGUCCUGCGUCCCAUUAGCUAGUUGGCGGGGUAAUGGCCCA